rnacentral:rRNA from 1 species
UACGGAGGGUGCAAGCGUUGUUCGGAUUUACUGGGCGUAAAGCGUCUGUAGGUGGUUUAAUAAGUCAACUGUUAAAUCUUGAGGCUCAACCUCAAAAUCGCAGUCGAAACUAUUAGGCUAGAGUAUAGUAGGGGUAAAGGGAAUUUCCAGUGGAGCGGUGAAAUGCGUAGAGAUUGGAAAGAACACCGAUGGCGAAGGCACUUUACUGGGCUAUUACUAACACUCAGAGACGAAAGCUAGGGUAGCAAAUGGG